rnacentral:pre_miRNA from 1 species
AAAAAGACAAACCCUGGUUUUCCGUGUCCAACGUUUGACCGUCCGUCUUAUUUGAAAAAAAUAAAAAGACAAGUCACACAUAAAGUAUUAAUCAUGUUUUAUCAUCUAACAACAAUAAAAAUACUAAUUAUAAAAAAAUUAUAUAAGACGGACAGUCAAACGUUGGACACAAAUCUAGAAUUUGUCUUUUU